rnacentral:rRNA from 1 species
AGUGAACGCUGGCGGUAGGCCUAACACAUGCAAGUCGAACGGCAGCACAGUAAGAGCUUGCUGUUACGGGUGGCGGGUGGCGGACGGGUGAGGAAAACAUCGGGAUCUAGUUUUUCGGGUGGGUUAAGGUAGGUAAACUUACUCUAGUACCGCAGACGCCGUUCGGUGGAGAGCAGUGGAUCGUCUCACCGGGUGGGGAUGGAUUAGCCGCUGUCGGACUAGCUAGUUGGGGGGGUAAAGGCCCAGCAAGUCGACGGUCCGCGGCUGGGCUGGGAGGAUGAUCAGCCACAUUGGAACUGAGACACGCUCCAGACUCCUACGGGAGGCCGCAGUGUGGAAUAUUGGACAAUGGGCGCAAGCCUGAUCCAGCCAUACCGCGUGGGUGAAGAAGGCCUUCGGGUUGUAAAGCCCUUUUGUUGGGAAAGAAAAGCAGCAGGUUAAUACCCCGCUGUUCUGACGGUACCCAAAGAAUAAGCACCGGCUAACUUCGUG